UCACAAAGGUCUAUUAAAUGCAUUCCUGGAGGGGUCCUAGAGGGGUCUGUGGCUGGUUCCACUGCAGUAAUAACCACUUGUGUACCUGGUGGUUCUGUUGUGCGCUGCCUGCCUGGAAGUCACUCUGGAGAUGCUGUGAAGAAGCAGCCAUGUUAUGCUGCCUCAGCCUCUGAGCAGCCAUUUCUUUCUCCUCUCUUUCCAGCUCUACCAGAGUGUGCUGCAGCUCCUGCAUGCGCUGCUGGUCCUGUUGCCUCAACAUCUCCAACUCACACUAAACAGUUGCAGUUUCUCCUUCAGCUCGGUCAGUUCCACCCCUUGCUGUGUGUUGCGCUCUCGCUCCAUCUUUAAAGCACAGCAGGUUUCUUGUUUCUGCUCCCUUAAAGUCUCCACAGCCAAGCGAUGUCGGGUGGCGGCCUCCUUCUCCCUCUGCAGCUCCGCCCUCCACGCUCUGUCCUCCUCCUCUGAUUUCCUCCUGCUCUGAAGCAGCUCAGCCCUCAGUUUGUCCAUCACAGCUGCCAGCUCCUCCCCCUGUCUUCGCUCUUGCUCCAGCUGGGCGCGCAUGUCGGAGAUGAACUUCCUGUCUCUGGUGGCGUCGGCCUCUUGUCGGCGGCUGAGGUCAUCGACCUGCCUGGAGUAACGGUCUCUCUCUUCGUCCACCUUCUGUGAGCUUCUGCGAGCUUGGAGUGAAUUUCUGCGAGGCGAGACUCUGCUUCAGUCAGGAGGCGCUCCAGGCGAGUCUGGUCUUGUAGGUUGAGCUCUUUCUGGUGAGCAGAGAGAUGCCGCUCGUCUUCUAGCUCUUUCUGGGUGUCGCCAAGGCGUUUCUCCAGCAGCACACUGCGGGACUGUUCAAUCUGGAGCUCCUGUCUCAGGUUGCUGCAGGCCACUCUCUCCUGCUCCACCUGACCCUUUAGAGCCAUGACCUCUGACCUCUGCUGCUCAGAAGAUACAUGCAGAGCCUGCAGAGGAAAGACAGGGGUUAUCUGUCAGAGUUUAAAAAAGGAAAGUUGACGUCGACUCUGCAUUCUUCACCAUGUUUGGUCUUCUGAACUCAGUGAAAGCAUUAAGAACAUCUUCUUGUGUUUAUACACUUUUUCCCUAAACGAUCUGAAGCUGCCAUUAAUAAAACUAAACCCUACCAACAAUAAUUUUGCAGGUUUUUAGUCCUCGUCUUACCUCUCUCCUUUCCUCCUUCUCCCUGUCCUUGCGGUGACUCAGAGCUCGCUCCUGCUCCAGUUGUUGUUGAAGCUCCUGGACUCUGGCCUGCUCCCUUCUCAAAGCUUCUUCGCCCUCUGCUAUAGCCACCCUGAAGAAAACAAAAAAAGCACAAUUCCAACUUUACUUUUCACCACUUCUGAGUGUCAUGAGCACACUUCAGUUGUUUCUGACUCUCCUCCAGCUCCGCCCUCAGUUGGGAUUCAACCUGUCUGUCAACCCGAUCUCCGGGCAAGUCACCUUCAACUCUGUGGUCAGUCUGAAGGAGGAAGAAGAACAUGAUCAGCACCAAUACCAUUUAUCUGCAUUUGAUUUUGAUUUCAUAGUAUCUUUAAAACCCCAGAAGCUCACUUGUGUGGGUCUCUGUGCCAUUCGACAGAGCAGCUCUCUGAGAGCAACCACAGUCUCCUGCAGCGCCCUCUUCUCCUGCUGCCAGCUCAUGGGGGGGAUGGAGGAUGAAUUGUCCCGCUGGUCCAGUAUGGUGGAGCCACCUUCAGAAUGAUGCUCUGUGUGACUCAAUGCAAAGGCUCUUAAGUCCGAGACGUGAGGAUGUGUUGAGGGAGCGGCACGGCGUUGGGACAAAGUGAGGAUCCUGCAGCUUUCUUGAUACACCUUUUUCAGCAGACACUGCAGGAAGAUGGAGAAAGAAACUGAGUAAAAGCUUAUCACACUGUCAAAUGAAUAGUUACUGAAAAGUGUGUAUAUAUAUAUCCUACCUGCAGCUCGGGUGACAACAGCUCAUCGGUGUAGCUCAUACUGCCUGCAGCACUGUCUGUGUUUACCGUGGGGUUCAUUCCUCGGCAGCGAAGAUAGUCAAGGAACUGAGCAUCCAGCCGCUCAGUCUGCUCCAGCUCCACCUUCAGCCUCGCACCCAAUUCUGAACUCACAUCUGAAGCACAAAAGAAGAGAGUUUAGCAGAUAAAUCUGGGACAUGUUUUUAAUAGAAAGACAAAAGAAUUUAAAUAAUAAUUGAUGCUACUAACAAGUAUUAUCUGGACCCUGAUGUAAAAUGUUCCUUUGUGCUAUAAGGUUACAUUUUUUAUCCAAAUACAAUGUCAAAAAUGUUUUAAUACUCACUGCUGCCAUAUCCAUCACUGGCCCAUUCUGGUGCCGACAAAGAGGAAGUGGAACCAAGAGGAGAUGAAGGUGUUGUCAUGUCAAGAUCUUCCAACUCGCGCACCUAAGAAAGAAGAAUUACAAGAAGGAAAAAAAGGUCAAAUCAAACAAAUACCUAAAAACCUCUGACCCAAUAAAAGACUAAACUGCUCCGAAGGUUAGCUCGUAUGGAAGAGUCAUAUCAUACUUUGUCAGUGUCCAGCGAGUCGAGCAUGGAGAAGUUGUCAGACACAGACACGGAGCCGGAGCCUGGGGAGCGGGUACUCCGCGUGGCCGGAUCCGGUGUGAUGGUCCUGGAGUGUGGAGACUCCAUCACCACUCUGGGAGAGGGCUUGACGUGGUGGAGGUCCAGGCCGGUGCUGUUCAGAGCGCUGAACUCAGACAGACGGGAGUUGAUGGCAGAGGCGCGGAAACGCUCUGGGAUUCGGUCUUCGGAGCAUUCGAGUCUCCUUAAAACCUCCGGAGAGCUCAGAGAGACUUCGCCACGAGAGACGCUCACAACGUCUUCAAAGGCUCUGUGAGAAAUAUCUGACAGAGGAAGAAAGUGAAAAUGAGUCAACCGUCUGAGCAGCGGCGCUGUGACGUGUUACGGCAGUUAAAUGCAACCAGAUGUGGUCCCGCCUGCAGAUGUUAGCACAGCUGUAUGCUAGCAUUGAGACCGGCAGCGAGAUAUUUGCGCUCUAGACUUGGGGCCUGUUGAAGCAGGUUUCCAAAGAUAAGUGAAUGACUU